UGACGAACUACCGACUCAAGUUCCAGGUGCAAAAGGGCACACUGCGCGAGGAGCUCCAGUGGCUCCAAGAGAAGCAGGUCAUGGACGUGCCCAUGG
rnacentral:snRNA from 1 species